UACGGAGGGUGCAAGCGUUAUCCGGAUUCACUGGGUUUAAAGGGUGCGUAGGAGGGCAGGUAAGUCAGUGGUGAAAUCCCCGAGCUUAACUUGGGAACUGCCGUUGAUACUAUCUGUCUUGAAUACCGUGGAGGUGAGCGGAAUAUGACAUGUAGUGGUGAAAUACAUAGAGAUGUCAUAGAACACCGAUUGCGAAGGCAGCUGACGAAACUAUAACUGACACUGAGGCUCGAAAGUGCGGGGAUCAAACAGG
rnacentral:rRNA from 1 species